AGUGGCGGCGGCAGUGGCGGCGGCAGCGGGCGGGGCUCGGCUCGGGCUCCGCGGGCGGGCGGGCGGACAUGGCGGCGAACAUGUACCGGGUCGGAGAUUAUGUCUACUUUGAGAAUUCCUCUAGCAAUCCGUACCUCAUCAGAAGGAUAGAAGAACUCAACAAGACUGCAACUGGCAACGUGGAAGCAAAAGUAGUGUGCUUUUAUAGACGACGAGAUAUUUCCAACACGCUUAUAAUGCUUGCAGACAAGCAUGCUAAAGAAAUUGAGGAAGAAUCUGAAACAACAGUUGAGGCUGACUUGACGGAUAAACAGAAACAUCAGUUGAAACAUAGGGAGCUCUUUUUGUCUCGCCAAUACGAAUCUCUGCCUGCAACACAUAUCAGGGGGAAAUGCAGUGUUGCCCUUCUGAAUGAGACAGAGUCUGUAUUGUCAUAUCUUGAUAAAGAGGAUACUUUUUUCUACUCAUUGGUCUAUGAUCCCUCAGUGAAAACACUGUUAGCUGACAAAGGUGAAAUCAGAGUGGGACCUAGAUAUCAAGCAGACAUUCCAGAAAUGCUCUUAGAAGGAGAAUCAGAUGAGAGGGAACAGUCAAAAUUGGAAGUGAAAGUUUGGGACCCAAAUAGCCCACUUACAGAUCGACAGAUUGACCAAUUUUUAGUUGUAGCACGUGCUGUCGGGACAUUCGCUCGAGCCCUUGAUUGCAGCAGUUCUGUAAGGCAGCCUAGUUUGCAUAUGAGUGCAGCUGCAGCUUCUCGAGACAUCACCCUGUUUCAUGCUAUGGAUACGUUGUAUAGGCACAGCUAUGAUUUGAGCAGUGCAAUUAGUGUCUUAGUACCACUUGGGGGACCUGUUUUAUGCAGAGAUGAAAUGGAAGAAUGGUCGGCCUCUGAAGCUAGUUUAUUUGAAGAGGCACUGGAAAAAUAUGGCAAAGACUUCAACGACAUACGUCAAGACUUUCUCCCUUGGAAAUCAUUGACUAGCAUCAUUGAAUAUUAUUACAUGUGGAAAACUACUGACAGAUAUGUGCAGCAGAAACGUCUAAAAGCAGCAGAAGCUGAGAGUAAGCUGAAACAAGUGUAUAUCCCAACUUACAGCAAACCAAAUCCCAACCAAAUAUCCACCAGUAAUGGCAAACCUGGUGCUGUGAAUGGAGCCGUGGGAUCCGCAUUCCAGCCGCAGAACCCUCUCCUAGGGCGAGCCUGUGAGAGCUGCUAUGCUACACAGUCUCAUCAGUGGUAUUCUUGGGGCCCACCUAAUAUGCAGUGUAGGUUAUGUGCAACCUGUUGGCUCUAUUGGAAAAAAUACGGAGGCCUAAAAAUGCCCACCCAGUCGGAAGAGGAGAAGUUACCUCCCAGCCCAGCUACAGAGGACCCUCGAGUUCGAAGUCACAUGUCUCGCCAGGCCAUGCAGGGGAUGCCGGUCCGAAACACUGGGAGCCCAAAGUCUGCAGUGAAGACCCGUCAAGCUUUCUUCCUUCACACUACAUAUUUCACAAAAUUUGCUCGUCAGGUCUGCAAAAAUACCCUCCGGCUGCGGCAGGCAGCAAGACGGCCGUUUGUUCCUAUUAAUUAUGCUGCCAUUAGGGCAGAAUAUGCAGACAGACAUGCGGACCUAUCUGGAAGUCCACUGAAAAGCAAAAGCACUAGGAAACCUUUGGCAUGUAUCAUUGGGUAUUUAGAGAUCCAUCCUUCGAAGAAACCUAAUGUAAUUCGAUCUACACCAAGCCUACAAACCCCAGCUACCAAGCGGAUGCUAACCACCCCGAAUCACACGUCUCUGAGCAUUUUGGGGAAAAGAAACUACAGUCAUCACAAUGGCCUGGAUGAAAGGCUCAUGAAGUGAAGGCGCAGCUCUGCUCUAUCCUGCAGACCUUCCUCAGGAUGGCGGGAGGCUGUGAAGAAUUCACAUGCUGCGUGUCAGACUGAGCUAUCCCUGUGUAAUCCUAUAAUCCAAGACUUGCUACUCUGUUCUGCUGACGUUUACGGCCGUGCCACGAGGCAGCCCCCUCCCCAGAGCAUUUCAGUGGGAGACCUCCACGCGCCCCAUGGAGACUCGAUGGGGCAGGGGAAGAGACUGCAGGAGUGUACGUCCCCAAGGCUGUGUCUCCUCGUGUGAAUCAGUGUCACCUUGCUUUCCUCUCAGAGACCUCGCUGCCCCAGGGGGACCUGCCUGGGGAAUCGAGGGGCUCGGGGAGCCACUCCACGUCCCCGCUUCUCCGGCGCUCCGCACCCUAGGCACUGCGGCUCCUGGGGCAGUGGGGCUGCUGCGGGCUCAGAGCCGCUGCUGCCCUGCAUGUGCCAGCUCAGCUCUGUCAUCAGCUGUGUGGAUGUGUACACGAGGGACACGGCAUCUUUCUGAAUGGAUUUUUCUUAAGAAAUGUGCCAGUGUUUAUGCAGUUCAUGAUAUUUCCCCACAUCCUUGCUGUCACUGUCACUCAGCUUUGACCUCAAUAGGCUUCAUUCCCCAUUUUUUUAAUGGGGAAAUUUUGUCCUUCACCCCAUGCGUCCUGUAUUUGACCCCCUCCCCCCCACCACCAAGGUACAGAAUUACCUACGGUUCUGACAAAACAUAAGAAAGUCGUUUUUGGGAAGCCUGUGCACUCUUUAUGUCCUCUGUACUUUGUCUUUGGAGAGCGGUUAGCAUUCUGUUCGGUUCCAUGCAGCUCCAGCAAGAGCAGGUGUUAACCUGAGCUGAGUGUGGGUAUCACUGUGACCAACCAUCGUGUCCUGCCCUGUUCCUUCACAGCCAAAGCAGCUGACGAGCAGCUGCAGCCAGGUCGGCCCUUCUGUGAGUCUCAUUCACCCAGGUUGAUUUUAAGCAGGUGGAGUCUGUGUGGCCUAGAAGGGUGAGGUGAGAGAAAUGUGUCUGUGGGUGAGUCUGCGUGUAUGACACCAUGAGCCCCCCCGAGCCUUCCAACCCAAACAUAUCUGUGAGCCCCUGUGCCUAGGCCCCGGGAGACCCGCCUGUGACCUGGUUUCUACUGUCUGCGCUCGGCACUGGCCCUGCUGGCAUCGCAGGCAGAGUGCUCUGCGGCUCUGUGUACACAGCCACGGGGACAGGAAUAACUUAGUGCCCCAUUGGCUCCCUGAGCAGGUGUGAGUCUGGCCACUCCCCUGCCUCUGUUUGCAGGUUCCGGCUGCAGGGCACAGAGUCCCAGCAGCGUGAAAGACAGCUGGAGUUUGACCUCUCAGGCAUCCCUGGAGUCCUCAGCUGGGAGACAGCUGGGUGGCUGGUAGUAGGUGCCCCACACGGCCAGGUGGUUGCAGGACAGAGUGGCUCCAAUUGCGUUGGACACCCCACCGCCACCCAAGCAGAGUGCGGUAUCUCUAAAAUGACGAUGACCCUCUAGAUGCCUAGAUCCUCAGAGCGUGGGUUCAGCUCAGCAGAGAGGAUGUGAUGUGUGAUGGCUGAGGGCGACUCUCAGAGCUUGAGCUGCCUUUUCCUUUUCCAGCCUUGCAGUCAUCAUGGCUCCUCUUUCCAGGAGGGGUCGGUUCUCAUCUUAGGCUUUGGCGGGGUGACCCUGGGGACAUUCUCACCACUGCCAACUCCUGGAGCUGUUCCGGCUCUUGGCUUGGGGCCCCAUGGGUGGGCCUGUGUCAGAAGUGCUCAGUGAGCCGGGCAGGGUGGCAGGCAUUGCCCUCGGGGUCCCACAGAGAAGCUCUUUCUGAAAAGACCCAGGGACAGAAGGCAACCAGCUCUCGCAUCACCUGUCAUGUGCCACGUUCUCCUCUAAAGAAAGAGACACGACAAAGCUGUGUCCCUGUGCCCUGCCCUGGAUUUGUUGUGCACAUGGACAAUAGAAGGUGGAAUGGCUCCCUCACCCUUCCCCUUUCCUCUCCUGACCCACAUGAAAUGGUGACUCGUGGUUAAAGGAGCAAUUAGCCGCCCGUGACUCUGCUGUCAGCUUGUUGAGGGGAGGCCCUCCUUCCCCAGGCCAGGAGAUUUGGAGACCGGGGCCAGGCCGGGUCUGAAGGAAGAAGAGGGAGGCCUAGCCCGGUUCCAGUUCAUGUUUAGCUGUGGGACAAGUGCAGCUCAUUUUGAGCCACAUGAAGUUCUUCCUUCACCGUGUAGUAAAAGCCCCUGGUUCUGCAGCCCCGUCCUCCUUCAGGGAGGAUGCUGAAGGUCUCACACUCUCACUGCACCUCUGAAAAGUCCCCCAGCAUUGAGCCUCCAGGGAAUGGGCGAGGGACACCAAGGAGCCUCUAGUAUCUGCCUUUGCCACCUGAGCAGUUGGCAUGGAGAGGGUUUCCCAGCCACCCCCUUUCUUGGGGCCACAGUGUCACCAUUGUAGGCGUCGGUGGCAUGUCACCACUGUGAGCAGUGAGCUUGUGGGGUGACAUGCAGAACCUGUCUGCACAGCUCCCAGCAGACGUGCACAGUGGUGCUGUGCUGAGCCUGGUCUGUGCUCCCUAGGACAGGGAUGCAGAAGCCCGCAAGCCAUCUUCCCUCUACCCCGUCAUCGCCCGCCCCCCUGCAUCCCCAAGGUGGUGCAAGGGAGGGGGACAUAGCGGUUUUUAGCUUUGCCUCUCACAACUGUGCCUAGUUCCCAGCCUGGUUUCUAUCAGCCUCCAGCCAGGAAAACAGAAUCAGUCUAUGUAUUUAAAACAGGGGUUUGGGGACUUCCCUGGUGGCACAGUGGUUAAGAAUCCGCCCGCCAGUGCAGGGGACACGGGUU